rnacentral:rRNA from 1 species
UACGUAGGGGGCUAGCGUUGUCCGGAGUCAUUGGGCGUAAAGCGCGUGUAGGCGGUCCGGUAAGUCCGCUGUGAAAGUCGGGGGGCUCAACCCUCGAAUGCCGGUGGAUACUGUCGGGCUAGAGUACGGAAGAGGCGAGUGGAAUUCCUGGUGUAGCGGUGAAAUGCGCAGAUAUCAGGAGGAACACCGAUGGCGAAGGCAGGUCUCUGGGCCACUACUGACGCUGAGAAGCGAAAGCAUGGGGAGCGAACAGG